CAACCUACCUUGUAGAUUGGGAUAACUCCGGGAAACCGGGGCUAAUACCAAAUAAUCCAUUUUGCUUCAUGGCGAAAUGUUGAAAGGCGGCUUCGGCUGUCACUACGAGAUGGGCCCGCGGCGCAUUAGCUAGUUGGUAGGGUAAUGGCCUACCAAGGCGACGAUGCGUAGCCGACCUGAGAGGGUGAUCGGCCACACUGGGACUGAGACACGGCCCAGACUCCUACGGGAGGCAGCAGUAGGGAAUCUUCCACAAUGGACGAAAGUCUGAUGGAGCAACGCCGCGUGAGUGAAGAAGGUUUUCGGAUCGUAAAACUCUGUUGUAAGGGA
rnacentral:rRNA from 1 species